rnacentral:rRNA from 1 species
AACGAACGCUGGCGGCAUGCCUAACACAUGCAAGUCGAACGAGACCUUCGGGUCUAGUGGCGCACGGGUGCGUAACGCGUGGGAAUCUACCCUUGGGUUCGGAACAACAGUUAGAAAUGACUGCUAAUACCGGAUGAUGACGUAAGUCCAAAGAUUUAUCGCCCAAGGAUGAGCCCGCGUAAGAUUAGCUUGUUGGUGGGGUAAUGGCCUACCAAGGCGACGAUCUUUAGCUGGUCUGAGAGGAUGAUCAGCCACACUGGGACUGAGACACGGCCCAGACUCCUACGGGAGGCAGCAGUGGGGAAUAUUGGACAAUGGGCGAAAGCCUGAUCCAGCAAUGCCGCGUGAGUGAUGAAGGCCUUAGGGUUGUAAAGCUCUUUUACCAGGGAUGAUAAUGGCAGUACCUGGAGAAUAAGCUCCGGCUAACUCCGUGCCAGCAGCCGCCGUAA